rnacentral:rRNA from 1 species
AACGGCCGUACCAUGCUGAAUAUACCGGUUCUCAUUCGAUCACCGAAGUUAAGCAUCAUUGGGCGCGGUCAGUACUUGGGUGGGUGACCACCUGGGAACACUGCGUGCCGUU